GUUUUCUCCGCCCCCGAUUUCUGUUUUCCUGGAUUUCGGCCCCCACAAACUUUGUUUUUGGUCAAAGUUUCCCUUCCAAAGGCGAUUUAAGUGGCUAUAAGGCUUAUUGAGGUUUUGCAUUGUAUACCAGCGGUUUUAGAGGUUGGGUAUUCGGUUUUUGUUGGACUAAAGAGAUUGCUAGCAAGAUAUUGAAGGCAUUGAUAUGGCUGAUGUUAUUGCUCAAUCUCACGGGGGUGAUGGUGGAGGAUGCGAUCCUCCACGUGGACCGGCAGAUAUCCCAGCUGAUUGUGAACGAG